rnacentral:rRNA from 1 species
GACAGAGGUGCUAAGCGUUAGGCGGAAUCACUGGGCUUAAAGCGUGUGUAGGCGGAUCGUUAAGUACCUUGUGAAAUCCCACGGCUUAACCGUGGAACGGCUGGGUAUACUGGCGAUCUUGAGCCACCUAGGGGCGAGCGGAACAAAUGGUGGAGCGGUGAAAUGCGUAGAUAUCAUUUGGAACGCCAACGGUGAAAACAGCUCGCUGGGGGUGUGCUGACGCUGAGACACGAAAGCCAGGGGAGCGAACGGG